GGUGAGGAUAUCCAGAUUUCUCUCUCAGUCUCAAUCUCUCUCGAGCGGACGCUCUUCCAAAAUCUCUAGCUCUCCAUCUCCAUCUCUCUCAGUCUCCAUCUCUCUCAAUCGCCACCUCUCUCAAUUUCAGUCUCACCGCGACCACAACCACCGAGAGAGGAAGAAGAAGAAAUAGGCUGGUGGUGGUUUGUGGAACGUGACGGCGAUUCGCGACGGUCUCAGUCGUCGUCUCGUAUCUGUCGUAACCUCGUCUCCACCAGUUUCCUAUCUCUGUCUUUCGCUAGAGAUGGUAUAUGCAGAGGAAAGAUUGGCUCUGUCUUGUUUCUGUCCAUUGUGACUGUUGGUUGCUCACUGUUUCUUUCUGCUUUGGUGCUCGCCUUAACGUAACGAGAGAGCAUUACAUAUGCUUAAUCGGCAUCUUCAGCAAGGCUUGUGAUACAUGGAAGAUAUGGAGAUUAGUUGAAAAAGUGAUGGUGAGCACUAACCAUAACAUUCCUCGUUCUAUAUGGGUGGCAGUGCUUCAAAUAACAGAGUAUCUGCGUGUGAGUGUUUCAAUAGAUAAGUCCUUUCACUUUUCGUUGUGUUCAAAGUUGAUUCUUUUUUAUUGUGUUGUUGUUGCCGGGAAGUGUGAAGACUGCACAUCCUCAACUGUUAUAUGAGACCAUGAUAUAUAGGGGUUGU